rnacentral:misc_RNA from 1 species
GAUGAAGAACGUAGCGAAAUGCGAUACGUAAUGUGAAUUGCAGAAUUCAGUGAAUCAUCGAAUCUUUGAACGCAUAUUGCGCUCUCUGGUAUUCCGGAGAGCAUGCUUGUUUGAGUAUCAGUAAACACCUCAACUUCCAUAUCUUUUUUGAAAUGGGAGUUGGACUUGAGUGAUCCCAACGCUUUUCCUCACCGAAAAGUGGCGGGUUACUUGAAAUGCAGGUGCAGCUGGACUUUUCUCUGAGCUAUAAGCAUAUCUAUUUAGUCUGCCUAAAAAACAGAUUAUUACCUUAGCUGCAGCUAACAUAAAGGAGAUUAGUUCUUGUGCUGACUGAUGCAGGAUUCACAAAGACAGGCUUCGGCCGACUUUGUAAACUCGAUCUCAAAUCAAGUAAGACUACCCGCUGAACUUAAGCAUAUCAAUAAGCGGAGGA